ACCUAGCCCUGAUUGCAACGGAAAUCCUUUUUUGUAAUCCUGACUGGUUUUUUACCCAGACAGGAUUGCAAAAAGAUUGAAGUGUAAAGCAGGAAAUAGC
rnacentral:sRNA from 1 species